rnacentral:lncRNA from 1 species
AAAGGGUAAAUCUUGCUAGCAAUACCAACAUAGCAAGGAAAAAGAAACGAUCAAUGCGAAAAAUGCCAAUUGAUGCCAUCUUAGCGGCAUCUCCACUAUCAAUCAACUCCCCAAAUGGAGUACAGGUAUAAAAAUUGCACGACACAACCAAAAGGGCAAUUCUUAAUGUCUAAUGUCUGGAGGUACUCUUCAUUGGUUUUAAUUGUCUUUCUACUCAUUUCAGUAAAAUUGUUCCACAGGAACUAUCGCAGACUGCGACAUCUGACCUUAACAUGCCAGAUACGGUUCAUGAUGAUGGAGAACAUAACAGGAACUCAUCAAUAGAAAAAGGGGCAUUCUAAACAGAAAAAGGAGAAAAAAGAAAAGGAAAGCACAUCACUCCCAGCCUAACGGUCAAACGUGUUUAUGAACAUGAUGCAUUGAGGGGACAGUUAAAAGUCACAAAAGGUAAAUGUGUCCCCAGUUUUGAAUGAUUACAUACUUGCUAAAUUACUUCUUCUUAAAGUUGUUACUGCUGCUGCUGAUGGAUCCACUUAAUGAAUUAGACUAACUAUUUGUUUUGGAUUGUACAUGAGCUAUCAUUCUGGUACAUCUACUAAUAUUUUUUUGGUACCUUUGUUUGUAUGUGAACGUUCUAUACAUGCCAUAUACUAUGAAAGAACAGUAUGUACAUGCCGUAUACUUUUGUUUGUGUCAGACUUUCAUGUCUUAGUCUGAUCCUAUCACUCUCCCUAUAUGUCGUUCAAAGACAUCCAUAUGAACCUAUAUGUCGUGGAAGUGCAUACGUACUUCUCAGUUCUUAUAGAGAACGGAAACUGGGUGGCAUGUGUUAUCAGAAGUUGUGUAUAAUCAUUUAUGGAAAUAUCAAAAAUUAAAAAUCCCAUGAAUUUGGAAUAGGGAAAUUCAAGUAGGUAGGAAGUACUGACAUACCAAGGAAUAAUAAAGAAUAGCACCACUGCAGCUACAAAAUCACAAUCAUUUGUUCAAGGAUCUGAACUCAAUUCACCCUGAAAAACAAUUAGUCAUCUUAAGUCAGACUGCAUGAUAGUCGGAUGGGAUCGAAAGCAAUUGACUGUCAAGGAAUGUACCCGUCUGCACCUGCCUGCACCCGACACAACCAUCGCCUUCACCACUGCUGCAUCGCCUCCGAACUCCUUGGUGAAGAUACUGAAGCUAAUAGGAGAACUAAUGAGUAAGCCAAAUGCAAAAUCGAAGAGAGAUUAUCUCUACAAAGCAGAUGAUAUGGGAAAACAGGACCAACUGCAAGGAGAGGAAAAAUCACAAAUAGCAGUUAAAAGCGUCUACAAAUUAACAGCUAGGUACUAUGGUGCCCCUAAUUAACUAAUAAUAGGAAGAUGUAUAAGUAUUGAUCAUUCAUUCGUUCCUAAUCAAAAGAAUCUGUGUGAAAGUUUUUGAGCCAUGACUUAAAUUUGUUCUGAAGAACAUGAUAGUAGAGAUUCAUGCAUUUUCAAAGGACAUGAUAAACAUAACAUGGAGAGAGAUUAUCCUAUACCUAAAUCAGAGGCCCAUAGUCUGAAGAAAUUCUCCUACACCUACCCGUCAAAAAAAUAUAUUCUCCUACACCUAAAUCAGAGACCGUAGUCCUGAACAAAUUGUCCGACACCUUGUAUUUCAGUACAGUUGCAAACUGGGUGUUUUGAUGUGAGAUUCACUCAGAGUGAACAAUUGAUAUUAAGUGAUCUGGUUUACUACUAAAUAGUUGGAUCAAUGCUCAAAUCUGAAGUUUGCUACGGGUGUAAAACAGAGAACAACCAUGGAUACUUAAUUCACUCCUUGCGGCCGUCCGUACGGGCGUCGUGGCGCAGACCUCCUGAGGAUGGCCUCCUGCUAGCCUUGCUGAUGCAGGCCUCUCCCUGUGCAUCUCACCACAUCAGAAUUGAUUGGCGCACUUGCUCCUGUCCAAAUUACACCAGUCGCUGCCGCAACCCACAAGCGCACGGCGAUGAGAAUUGAAACGAAGCAAACAAGCAGAGUGGGAGAAGGACCGGGCGUACACGGAGGCGGGGCCAUUCCGCCGUUGUGGCGGUCUAGGAGCCCGGCGGGGGCGCGGGCGACCUGUGCACCGUGGGCAGCCGUCGGGAACGUCGAGCCGCGACGCGACCUGUUGGCGCCGAAUCCCCAGCACAGUCACCAUCGCCGGCACAUCCAUCCCUGCCGCCACGUCCUGCCCCCUCGAUCCAUCAAUAUGAUCUCCUCAAUAUAGCCGCGGAGCGAGUGCUGAAGUGUCCACUCCGGCACAGCCGAGAACGCGCGCGGUGAGAUCCACCAGCACCGGUGAAGGUGAGCAGUGAGGAGGGGAGGAAGGAAGGGCCUGUGGACCGAGGCGUCACGAGAGAUUGAAGCAGCCUCCGUGGCGGCUAGGCAAGGCCGUGGCAGCGGAUGAGAAUGGGGCGAGCAGAGUGAGGGGAGUGGAGUGACGGAGUGGCUUGUCGGUAAGAGAUUUUUUUUAUAAGGUCGGUGAGAAAAUGUGCUACUGUCCAGUACAAAUCCAGCUAAACUGCUAAAGCCCAGGCCAGUUUACUGGUUAAGGCUGAUUGUGUCCGUGGAUGCCUUUAGUUUUUAUUUUAUAUUUUGAGCAAAGGAUGCCUUUAGUUGAAUAAUAAAGCUCUCUAUAUUCCCUGAAAAAAAGCAGGUGCGGCCCAUAUAGGUCAAAAAGAUCAAUUGCCUGGUUGCCAAAUAUCUUAGACCUAUAAUUUUUGAAAAAUCUCUUCAAAUAUAUACCCUUCCCUUGGUAGAGCCGCAGCGAAUAGAUCGUCUCCGGAGCGAGGCAUCAUGUCGGACGGAGAAGAGCUCAUCGGCGAAGUGUCUGGAAGACUCCGCAACACCAUAUGGAUCUCCUGGACGGUAAUGGAGUGCCGAUGGACCUCGUACGAUGGUGAAUCGAAGAUGGCGGACGACGGGUAGAGGCCGGGAGAUUGCGUUGGAUGCGGAGUUGCAGGGCACCUGAGGUCAUGAUCUUCGGCACGGAGACGCUCUAUUUCACGAAGGGUCUUGUGGACAUGGAAGUGCGGCUUCUCGUCGUUGUUGGCCAAGUGAACGGCGGCGCUCGGGUGAGCGGGCGGGGGAGACACCCUCGGCCUCUGAAGAGGAAGAAGACGACCAGCCAGUGGGCUGGGCUAUCCUGGGCCAAAAGGUAACCAUGCGCUCUCUCUUUUCUUUUUCAAUCCCUGUUUUAUUCUUUCUGGGGGCAAAAAUGUCCCAUAGACGUCCAAAAAAGGUCAAAGCCCUUUGACCGGACGGAAACGACACGGAAGGGCAUUUUUGUAAGGGCACCUAACGGCAGAGGGGCAAAUUUUAGUAGGCUUCGAAAUUAGGGGCAAAUCUGAGUAGGUGAUACGAAUUAGGGACAUAAAUGGAAAUGCCCAUGUAUUUUUAUCAGUGUCUCCAUGUCAAAAAAAUCACCCGUGGCAACGCACGGGCAGUCUACUAGUAAAAAUAUAUUUCUCCUCUCCGGCAGGACUUCUGGAAGUUGUCUCUUCUCUCCGAAGUCGUCUUUUCUCUACCUUAUAAAGGUAUCUUUCUUCCUUUUUUUAUACUUCCGUAGUUUAUUAUUUUUAUGGAAUAAUUAGAUUAUUAAUUAGUCUAUGUAUUUAUACAUUAGACCUAUAAUUCUUUUAGCUGUAUCUAAUUUUCUUCCGUAAAACAGUCAGGCCCUGAUUUUUUUUAAUAGCCAUAACUUUUUACUCGUUCAUCCAAAUUAGAUGAAACCAGCGCCUAUAGUUUUGUCUUGUUUUCACCUAUCCAGUGAACUUGUCACAUCAACUUUUUGAAAUUUUCAAAUUUCAAAAUUUGUUCAGAUUCAUAUUCAAACUUCUUUUGAUCAUAACUUGAGUUUCGUAACUCCGAUUUGGUUGAUUCCUUUUGCAAAUCGAAGCUCUUGACCUAAACUUUCUGAUAAGACCAAAUCCACCUAAUUUUGGUACUGUUAGAAAUUGUUUUCUGUUAAGAGUUAAUUACUUGUUUUCGAGGUUUUCUGAGAUCUUUUCUUCGAUUCUUUUGCAUGAUUGCUUAUGUGUGGUUACUAUUGCUUGCUUACGAUAGAUUGACCGGAGUGUGACGAGUAGAACUAUCAGGAGCUAUGAGUGCGAAUCAUCUUCAUCAACAGUACAAGACAAGUUCACACUUUGAUCAUACUUUUCAUUACCCAGUUUUUAUGCAUUAGUUUCAACCCUCAAACAUUGCAUGAGUAGGAUUGAUAACAUGUGGCUAUUGGGAAGUAGUUGAUGAGGUAGAACCUAUUGUCUUGCAAUUCAAACCCAAGGUGUUACUACGUUAUGCUUACUGGUAUCUAUGCUCGUAGACGUGGUUAGGUUUUGAGAGAAUUCAUGAAAUAUGUGAGAGUUAUUGUUAACUAAGGUUUAACUUAAGGUGGCUACUUUAAUACACAUAUCUGGGUGGAUUGGUUGGGGCACCCUGGAGCACCCAAUGGUUCGCCCGGUGUGACGCCCCCGAUUCAAUCGUACACUAAUCAUACACGCAAACGUGUACGAUCAAGAUCAGGGACUCACGGGAAGAUAUCACAACACAACUCUAAAAAUAAAAUAAGUCAUACAAGCAUCAUAAUACAAUCCGAAGCCUCGAGGGCUUGAAUACAAGUGUUCGAUCAUAGAUGAGUCAGCGGAAGCAACAAUAUCUGAGUACAAACAUAAGUUACACAAAUUUGCCUUAAGAAGGCUAGCAGAAACUGGGAUACAGAUCGAAAGAGGCGCAGGCCUCCUGCCUGGGAUCCUCCUAAACUACUCCUGGUCAUCGUUAGUGGCCUGCACGUAGUAGUAGGCACCUCCGGUGUAGUAGGAGUCGUCAUCGACGGUGGCGUAUGGCUCCUGGGCUCCAGCAUCUGGUUGCGAUAACCAGGUAGAAUGCAAAAGGGGGAAAGAGGGAGAACAGCAACCGUGAGUACUCAUCCAAAGUACUCGCAAGCAAGGAUCUACACUACAUAUGCAUGUAUCUGUGUAAAGGGGCAAUAUCGGUGGAUUGAACUACAUAAUGCCAGAAUAAGAGGGGAUAGCUAGUCCUGUCGAAGACUACGCUUCUGGCAGCCUCCAUCUUGCAGCAUGUAGAAGAGAGUAGAUGGUAAGUUCACCAAGUAUCAUCGCAUAGCAUAAUCCUACCCGACGAUCCUCCCCUCGUCGCCCUGUGUGAGAGCGAUCACCGGGUUAUAUCUGGCACUUGGAAGGGUGUGUUUUAUUAAGUAUCCGGUUCUAGUUGUCAUAAGGUUAAGGUACAACUCCAAGUCGUCCUGUUACCGAAGAUCACGACUAUUCGAAUAGAUAAACUUGCCUACAGGGGUUCACCACAUAACCCAACACGCUCGAUCCCAUUUGGAUGGACACACUUUCCUGGGUCAUGCCCGGCCUAGGAAGAUCAACACGUCGCAGCCCAACCUAGGCACAAUAGAGAGAUCAGCACGCCGGUCUAAAUCCUAUGGCGCAGGGGUCUGGGCCCGCCUUUGCACACCUGCACGUUGCGAACGCGACCGGAAGCAGACCUAGCCCCCUUAAUACAAGCGCGAGCAUACGGUCCAAUGCGGCGCACGCCGCUCAUUCGCUGACGUCACGAAGGCUUCGGCUGAUACCACAACGUCGAGUGCCCAUAACUGUUCCCGCGUAGUUGGUUAGUGCGUAUAGGCCAGUGGCCAGACUCAGAUCAAAUACCAAGAACUCGUCAAGCGUGUUAAUUGAAGUAUCCGCGAACGCCGACCAGGGCCAGGCCCACCUCUCUCCUAGGUGGUCUCAACCUGCCCUGUCGCUCCGCCACAAAGUAACGGUCGGGGGCCGUCGGGAACCCAGGCCCACCUCUACCGGGAUGGAGCCACCUGCCCCUUCAGCCCCCAUCUUCGAAUAGUAUCAUAAGUAAUGUAAUAGUAUAAAGUAUAUCUCAUAUGCCCGUGAUCACCUCCCUAGUUGAUCACGGCCCAGUAGUAUAGCAUGGCAGACGGACAAGAGUGUAGGGCCACUGAUGGAAUACUAACAUCCUAUACUAAGCAUUUAGGAUUGCAGGUAAGGGUAACAACUGUAGCAACAAUGACAUGCUAUGCAGCAGAAUAGGAUUAACGGAAAGCAGUAACAUGCUACACUACUCUAAUGCAAGCAGUAGAGAGAAGGAAUAGGCGAUAUCUGGUGAUCAAGGGGGGGGGGGGCUUGCCUGGAAACUCAGCCGAGAAGGAGGGGUCAUCAACAUCGUAGUCGUACUAGGUAGCAGUGGCGUCGGUCUCGGUGUCUAGCGAGAGAAGAGGGGGAAGAAACAAUAAAUACAAUGCAAACAAAUGCAUGACGAUGCAUGACAUGACAAAGCGUGAUGCUAGGUGUGCCCAAUCGCGGUAGUAGGUGAUACCUGUGAAGGGGGGAAACAUCCGGGAAAGUAUUCCCGAUGUUCCGCGUUUUCGGACAGAUGAACUGGAGGGGAAAAGUUGCGAGUUCGAUAGGUUAGGGAUGUGUGGCGGAAGAACGGGCUGCGUAUCCGGAUUCGUCUCGUCGUUCUAAGCAACUUUCAUGUAUAACACUUUUUCAUCCGAGUUAUGGAUUAAUUUCUAUAAAUUUUAAAAGUUUUAAUUAUAUUCUGGAAUUUCCUGGAUUCGUUUAAUAAUUCGAGUAAAUAGCUAAAUGGAUAAGGACACCCAAAAGUGUACCCAGCCAAAGUGUAAAUGAGGUUGACAGGUGGGGCCAGUUAACUGUUGACUGGUCCACGUUUGACUAGUCAACGGUCCAGUGGGACCCUUUGUCAUACACUAAAUUUUUAACAGGUUCUAAUUAUAUUUUUUAAAUUAGCAGUGGUCCCACAUGUCAUUUGCUAUUAAGCUAAUUAGAAACUAACUAAUCCUAAUCUAAGUCUGAAUAGGGGCCGUCUUUAUUGGGCAGAGCCCAGCCGGCCGGGCACGCACGCAAGAGAGCACGGCGUCCCUUGGCAUAGAGCCAGCGGCAGGAGCCAGCGGCAGGAGCCAGGAAGUGGCGCGGUGCACACCGGCGCACGGCCAGGGAGCGGACAGGGGGUUAGGGCGCGCGCGGGGUGGCUCGCCGGGGCCGUCGGGAGCGGCGGUGGACGCGGCCGUGAGAGGAUGGGGGUGGCCGAGAACGGCGGUGGUGACGGGCGGAGGCAGAGGGACCGAAGCCGCCGGCGCGCGGGGCGGCGGCUCGUGCCGAGGCGGCCAAAAUCGACGGCAGCGAGCACGACCGCGGCGGCUGCAGAGAAGCCGCCGCGCGAGCAAGCGGCGGUGGCGGAGCUCGCGUGUGGGGAUGGGAAGAAGCUGCUGUCGGUGGUGGCAAGCAGGGGAGGCGUGGGCCCAGGACAGGGUGCGGCCGGCGCGUGCGCACAGGCGGAGCAGUCGCCGGCGGCUGUAGCAGCGCGAGAAACAGGGCAGCACGAGCAGCAGACAAGGGAGGAGGCGCGCGAACGCAGCGGGUAGUGGGGCGAGGGCGCGGGCGCGCGAGCGUGAGGCGGGGCACGACGAAGACGCGGUGAGCGCGACCAGGGGUACAACGAGCGGAGCUCGGAGGUGGAGCUCCAAGCACGGCGGCCUCGGCAAGUAUGGGCGACUACAGCGACGGAAACGAGAGGGAAAAGAGGGAAUCGGAGGAGGGCCUCAUAGUGGAGCUUGUGGGCGUGUCGGGGAAGCCGGCGAAGAUCGGGAGGCGGCGAAUCGAGGCGAGGUCCGUGGCGGUGCAGACGGGAAGAAUAAGAUGAUGGCGAGGCUUGGAGGAGUCCUGGCUCGAUAACGUACUCGUGGACGAUGCAGUGGAGGCGAACGAAGCUCCCGGUCAAGCUCCGAGCACGCGGGGCGACGGUGGUAGCGUGGACGGGGUCGGCCAUGGCGUCGGAGGUUUCGGGCACCGCCGAAAUCAAGAGAGAUAGCGGGCGAGAGGAAGAGUGGGGUGCUCUAGGGUUCCGGGGAGGGAGAGAGGGGUAGGGGGCUGCCCUUAUGCGCGACGGGGAACCGCGGGAUGGUCGCCACACAUCCAAAGUCGCGACCAUGGUGGUUCGGAUGCGUUCCACCACCCCCUGUGAACAGGGAGGAGGAGGAUGGCUUCUGGUGGGCUAGGUCUGCACUGAGGCCACUAGGGCCCAGUGCAGCAGUAGCAGUUCCUUAACCUCUGUUCCUUUCUAAAACUUUUCUAUUUUAUGCUUUUUCUUCUAAUAUGCACUCUUUGUAUUUAACUAAGCCAUCAAAUGAUUUUUGCAAAAUAGGGAACUUGGUCCAAAAUUGGUGUUACAUUUUUAGGCACUGCCUCAAAAAGUUUGAGAGAUAUUUGAAUUCAUUUGGAAUUUUGUUUCAAUAGAAAUGAUACGAUUUGGGGUUGUUUGCCAAUAUUUCGGAUAGUUGAGGGCAUCUAAACAUUUAUUUAAAAAUGUUGGUUCACCACCAAUAUUAAAAAAUGAGUAUUUUCCACAUGAUGAACAUUUUAGUUUUAACGUUUGAAAACUUUUAUCGUUUAACUUUAAUUCAAACUUGGAUUUGAAUUGAUUUCGAACUAACGCGAGAUUAACAACAAUAAUCGAGGUGACGUGGCAUCAUUAGCAGAGGUUCACUGUAGCUUAAAUAUCCGGGCGUCACAAUUCUCCUCCACUACAAGAAAUCUCGUCUCGAGAUUUAAGAGGUGGAGUAAAGGGGGAAGGUUCUGGUUAUGAAAUUCUAACGGAUCUGCUCGGCCUUGGUUGCUCUUCUCGAAGAGGUCGAUCAAUUACAUUGCCGUCUUCCUUCCUCUGUUUCGGGUCAUCAUGGUGAAGUUGUCCUUUUCUUCAGGAACUUCAACAUACUUACGAAUAGGUAAGGGGCAGCUCGGCUACGACAGAAUGCUUAGGAGGGGAACAAUCUGGGGUUAACCCAUGAAUGAGCAUAAGAUUAUCUCUCGAGUUGAACAUAUAAAAUACAUCGAGAGUAUGGUACGAAGGUACAAUAAGAGGUUCCAAGCGGAUAGAUAGUUUCUCAAAGUCUGAACCAGAGCGAGAAAGGGUUUCAGAGUAGCGAGAGUAAGUAUUGCGUCUGAUACCAGGAUAGAGCACUAGGAAGGUGGCCCGUGAAUUAAAUACGAAGCCAAGCAUAGGGAAUAACCAUUAGAUACAGGGUUGUACAGGAGAGUCAGGUUUCAAUCCUGUGGAACUGUGGGUUAUGGGCCCACCAUGUGGUUUAAAAGUUGGAAGGGUGGAGACGUCUUGCGUGAUCAUGCAAGCAAGGCAUGUCAGAGGGUAGCUUGUCGAUUAUGUCGGCAACAACGCCGGUACCAAGGGAGAGGGACGAAGAGAACCAUUUUCUUGCAUAUUGAAUGAGGCGGACCAAUAGGCAAAGUUCUCGUCCAUCGGUGGCUACCGGAAUGUUGUCAACAAUAGUAACAGGGUCAUACUGAUAGAGUUGUACACUGAGAUGUUUACAUAAGCAAGAGAAUAUUACUGCUUAGAUCAUAUAGAUCACAAGAAACGUUAAACCAACCUAUGGAAAGGAAAAUGUGUUUAAACACAUAUUUUAGGGGUAUAUCCUCCCCAAGGACAAGAGAGCAUGAUAUCCAUGACAUGAUAUAAAAUAGAAAACCAUUUAGGUGAGGGGAGAGAAAUUUCAUGGCAUUACCCAUACAACGGUGUUUGGAUAAUUGAGCAAGAAACAUUUAGCAUUGGGCUUCAAAUGUUCUUGUUGAAAAUCGGAGUACCACAGACAUGCUUCGAGAUAGCAUUGACAUGGUCUUCAAGCAAAGGUAGCAUUGACAUGGUCUUCAAGCAAAGGUCGGACUUUGGAUACUCAAUGGAUUCAUCAGGAACAACUUAUAGAAUAAGUCUUUCAAUUUCCUCAUGGAAGAAUGGUUAACAUUGCUAAAAGGAAGAACUAUAUCAAUAGGCCCUCUAGCCAAGUGUGCUAGGCAUGACAUCACCUUACCGGGUCAUAUAAAGACCAAUGUUAUAACUCUUGGAAAAUGCGUCCCAACCAUCAUAUCUGACCGGGAUUCAUAUCUGAUUGGUGUUAGGAUAUCUCAGACUCGGGAUGUCUGAGAAGAAAAGGUGCAACACAAACUGUCGGGAUGACAUUGUAAGAUUCUCGGGUAAUCAACUAUGGAAGCGAGUUCUGAAAUACGAGUUUGUCAUUAAACCAAGGAGAGGAUGAGGAGGUGGUUGAUGGACUCAGCGACAAUUCAUCAAGAUUAACAAAAGAUGGAUUUCCACACUUAUGUGAAUAAAGAUAUAACAUUUGUGAGAUCAAAUGAUAUAAUGAGGUAUGCUCGAGGAAAAUAUACACAGUUAAACAUUGGUUGGAAGGUGCACCCGAAAUAUGGGCUUCGGUAGCAUGAUCAAUGUUAGAAUGGUGAUUCAAUAACCAAUAGUCUAAAAAUGAACUAUCGACCAUUAACUUCAAAGCAAUAGGGUUGCUAGAAGUUUUGAAUCCGCACAUCAUAGUUCAAUUGUCGGUUUUCCGGUUAGAAACAACAGGUUACCAGGAAGAGAACGGUGAUGGUGAUAAGUAUCACUUGUAUCAAGAUUUCUCCAUAGGUGGUGAAAUUCUCAUGACAAUCCUGACAUAAAAGAUGGUAAUACCCCAAGGUAAAGAAGAACAAAGGCUGGAUAGCAAGGAUCUCAAGGUAUAACACAAAACACAAGCAAGUUUGUGUUGGAGGGAAGACAAUAAAGUGGUCGAUGAUAACACAAAUCAUCGAGGCAAGGAUGGUAUUUCUCAUCAUGAAUUCAAUUGAUAUCAUGGAAAAGCUCAAAAUACUGAUGAUGAUCAUGACACAUUUGUCGAGAGAUUUCACGAAGAUGUAAUCGAUCGAUGAUGACAUCAAGUCAAACGAAUGAUGAAGCGAAAGGUUAUUGGAACCACGGUUAGGACACAAACUCAAAAUCAAGUUUGUUGUUCAAGGAGAAAUGAUAUGAUGACGAAAAUUGACGCAAGCUUAGCUCAUCGUUGAAAGUCGUGCUCUGGGAAUAAGGACCAGGUAGCACAAUUAAAAUCAUCAUGAUAAUGAUAUAGCCAAAUAGGCUAGGAAUGACGUGAUCGGGUACAAACUCGUAAAUAAGGAAGAUUACUAAGAGUUGUUGAACCGUAGUGCGGACUCGAUUCAGUUAUUGGGGUACUCGAGUGACUAACCACUCAAAACCCAGGAAAAGUUGGAAUCGAUGAGAAUGUAGUACUUGACGAAGAACUCAUAAGAAGUUAUGCGGUUCUGUGAUAAUCUCGAGAUACCAGGGGGUAAUACUCGACGACAGAUCAAAGUAGAGGUUGGACUGGGGUAUUGCUCUGUAAAAGGCAAAUAUUUAAACUUCCCCGAGAAAUGGGAUCAAAGAAGAACAAUAUGGUCGGAACCAUAGCUGCAAGGGAUCCAAUCUAAUGACAUCGAAAGAAUUACCCAAAUGAUUAAAUAUUUUGCAAGAAGCUUCCAUGAUAAGUUCCACAUCGGGUCCAUGGGCAUGAAUGCAAAGUUCAAGGUCGACUCCCACUUCUUUAAUGCAUAACCUUCCAUUCACUUCUCGUCUUCGAAGAAGUUGCAGUGUUGAAAUUUUAUCCGGCGAAGCACCAGAAGAGUAUGACUUGUGAAAACUUUUGGGUUCACACAGUUUUAGAGAAGGUAUAGGUUCAACCCAUCAGGGCAUCUUAGAAACAUAUACCACAAGCUUCAAGAGUAAAUAUCACCAGCUCGAAAGCAGAGCAAGGUUGAGAAAGUAGAGGAUGCAAUUUACCAAAGGCAUUAUGUAUCCGAGGGAAGGCUCACAAGGUUAUUGAAUAUGAAGGACGCUGUCGGAUAAAAUCCAUUAAAGGAUCUGCCGGUCCAUAAUGGAGCUGAUGUGAGUGUCGACACACAACCAGAGGAAGUAACAAUGUAAAGGCAUUCGAUUAUAGAAACAACUGACUAAUCCAGAGCUCAAAUGCAAAGGAAUUAUGAUUUUCAAAUCAAGGGAUCAGAAUCAAUGUUCUGAUUAGGGAUGGAUAAGUUGAAUAGCCUUAGGGGUACAAUUGACGGCAAAUAGAUUGGUCGAGAACAAGCUCAUGUUUAAAAUGACGUCUGAGCCGGAAAGAUAAUUAAAAGGAUCAACUGAUGAUUGUGUGCAUUCACACUCAUGUUGAAUCAAUAGGAUCAAAAUGAUGGUGCCUAAGGAUACUAACGAAUAUUGUCAGACAUAUGGAAAGCAUCCAUAAUGCAAGCAGACAAGUAUUGCAGAGCAAUAAGCUACUAAGGAUUUUUUGAAGGAUCGAAUAGUAUUUCGAAGACCAUUGUGAAACACAUGAACAACUAGGGAUGAGCGGAUACUCGAUAAGGGCGAGAAAUUAACCAUACAGGUAUCCAGGUGGCAAGGAACUGCAAGGCAGUUGGCACAAAAUAUUCUCGAAACAAUAGAGAGGAUUUCAGGGUAUCUUGUAAUAAGAAGACCAACUGGGAAUAAAAGUAAGAACGACAAGUGUAUGUAUUUAUCCAUAGGGAUGUUUUGGUGGUAGGGAAUUGCAAAAGCAACAUGCACAAAGUCUCAAAGGAGUAUCGGAGAGUAACUUCGAAAUUUGAUGGUGCAGCCGGUGAUCAUCUGGACUGAAGGGGUUCUCCGGGAGAAAGUGUUUUCGAGAACAUAAACUUAGAUUUUAGAAAAUCAUUUAACCCGAAUAGAAGAGAGAUUAGAAUCCCCUAGUAUAGACGAUGAAUAAAAGAUCUUAAUACCACCCAAUGGUGACGUGGGCCCAUGGGCCGCACAAUCAUGUUAGUAAAAGUUUUGUAAAGUCUAGACUCAACUUCGGCCAAGGAGUAUGGAAGGGGGAUUCCUACAGGCAGUCGGCUCUGAUACCAACUUGUGACACCCCCGAUUCAAUCGUACACUAAUCAUACACGCAAACGUGUAUGAUCAAGAUCAGGGACUCACGGGAAGAUAUCACAACACAACUCUAAAAAUAAAAUAAGUCAUACAAGCAUCAUAAUACAAGGCGGGGGCCUCGAGGGCUCGAAUACAAGUGCUCGAUCAUAGACGAGUCAGCGGCAUCAACAAUAUCUGAGUACAAACAAAAGUUAAACAAGUUUGCCUUAAGAAGGCUAGCACAAAUUGGGAUACAGAUCGAAAGAGGCGCAGGCCUCCUGCCUGGGAUCCUCCUAAACUACUCCUGGUCAUCGCCUGUGGCCUGCACGUAGUAGUAGGCACCUCCGGUGUAGUAGGAGUCGUCGUCGACGGUGGCGUCUGGCUCCUGGGCUCCAGCAUAUGGUUGCGACAACCAGGUAGAAUGGAAAGGGGGGAAAGAGGGAGAAACGCAACCGUGAGUACUCAUCCAAAGUACUCGCAAGCAAGGAUCUACACUACAUAUGCAUGGGUAUCUGUGUAAAGGGGAAAUAUCGGUGGACUAAACUACAGAAUGCCAGAAUAAGAGGGGGAUAGCUAGUCCUGUCGAAGAUUACGCUUCUGGCAGCCUCCAUCUUGCAGCAUGUAGAAGAGAGUAGAUGGUAAGUUCACCAAGUAUCAUCGCAUAGCAUAAUCCUACCUGGCGAUCCUCCCCUCACCGCCCUGUGUAAGAGCGAUCACCGGGUUAUAUCUGGCACUUGGAAGGGUGUGUUUUAUGAAGUAUCCGGUUCUAGUUGUCAUAAGGUCAAGGUACAACUCCAAGUCGUCCUAUUACUGAAGAUCACAUCUAUUUGAAUAUAUAAACUUCCCUGCAGGGGUGCACCACAUAACCCAACACGCUCGAUCCCAUUUGGCCGGCCACACUUUCCUGGGUCAUGCCCGGCCUCAGAAGAUCAACACGUCACAACCCUACCUAGGCACAACAGAGAGGUCAGCACGCCGGUCUAAAUCCUAUGGCGCAGGGGUCUGGGCCCAUCGCCCUUUGCACACCUGCAUGUUGCGAACGCGACCGGAAGCAGACCUAGCCCCCUUAAUACAAGCGCGAGCUUACGGUCCAAUGCCCGCGUGCGCCGCUCAGUCGCUGACGUCACGAAGGCUUCGACUGAUACCACGACGUCAAGUGCCCAUAACUGUUCCCGCGUAGUUGGUUAGUGCGUAUAGGCCAGUGGCCAGACUCAGAUCAAAUACCAAGAACUCAUUAAGUGUGUUAAUUUAAGUAUCCGCGAACGCCGACCAGGGCCAGGCCCACCUCUCUCCUAGGUGGUCUCAACCUGCCCUGUCGCUCCGCCACAAAGUAACAGUCGGGGGCCGUCGGGAACCCAGGCCUACCUUUACCGGGAUGGAGCCACCUGCUCCUUCAGCCCCCAUCUCUGAACAAUAUCAUAAGUAAUGUAACAGUAUAAAGUAUAUCUCAUAUGCCCGUGAUCACCUCCCGAGUUGAUCACGGCCCAGUAGUAUAGCAUGGCAGACGGACAAGAGUGUAGGGCCACUGAUAGAAUACUAGCAUCCUAUACUAAGCAUUUAGGAUUGCAGGUAAGGGUAACAACUGUAGCAACAAUGACAGGCUAUGCAGCAGAAUAGGAUUAACGGAAAGCAGUAACAUGCUACACUACUCUAAUGCAAGCAGUAGAGAGAAGGAAUAGGCGAUAUCUGGUGAUCAAGGGGGGGGGGGAAGCUCAGCCGAGAAGGAGAGGUCGUCAACACCGUAGUUGUACUGGGUAGCAGCGGCGUCGGUCUCGGUGUCUAGCGAGAGAAGAGGGGGGAAGAAACAAUAAAUACAAUGCAAACAAAUGCAUGACGAUGCAUGACAUGACAAAGCUUGAUGCUAGGUGUGCCCAAUCGCGGUAGUAGGUGAUACCUGCGAAGGGGGGAAACAUCCGGGAAAGUAUUCCCGGUGUUCCGCGUUUUCGGACAGAUGAACCGGAGGGGGAAAGUUGCGAGUUCGAUAGGUUAGGGAUGUGUGGCGGACGAACGGGCUGCGUAUCCGGAUUCGUCUCGUCGUUCUAAGCAACUUUCAUGUAUAACACUUUUUCAUCCGAGUUGUGUAUUAAUUUCUAUAAAUUUUAAAAGUUUUAAUUAUAUUCUGGGAUUUCCUGGAUUCGUUUAAUAAUCCGAUUAAAUAGCUAAAUGGAUAAGGAUACCCAAAAGUGUGAAUGAGGUUGACAGGUGUGGCGAGUCAACUGUUGACAGUUUCACGUUUGACUAGUCAAUGGUCCAGUGGGACCCUUUGUCAUAGACUAAAUUUUUAACAGGUUCUAAUUAUCUAUUUUAAAUUAGCAGUGCUCCCACAUGUCAUUUGCUAUUAAGCUAAUUAGAAACUAACUAAUCCUAAUCUAAGUCCAAAUAGGGACCGGCCUUACUGGGCAGAGCCCAGCCGCCCGGGCACGCACGCGGGCAGAGAGCCAGCGGCAGGAGCCAGGAAGUGGCGCGGCGCACACCGGCGCACGGCCAGGGAGCGGACGGGGGGUUAGGGGGCGCGUGGGGUGGCUCGCCGGGGCCGCUGGGAGCGGCGGCAGACACGGCCGCGAGAGGAUGGGGGUGGCCAGGCGGAGGGGACCGGAGCCGCGGGCGCGCGGGGCGGCGAUGCCGGACGCGUGGUUAGGGUCGUUUGAAAGCCCGUGACGAGGAGAGACAGUUGGUGCCCGCGGUUCGUGCAGGGGCGGCCGAAAUCGACGGCGGCAAGCACGACCGCGAUGGCUGCAGAGAAGCGGCUGCGCGAGCAAGCGGUGGUGGCGGAGCUCGCGUGUGGGGAUGGGAAGAAGCUGCUGGCGGUGGUGGCAAGCGGGGGAGGCGCGGGCCCAGGACAGGGCGCGGCCGGCGCUUGUGCACAGGCGGAGCAGUUGCCAGCGGCUGGAGCAGCGCGAGAAACAGGGCAGCGCGAGCAGCAGACAAGGAAGGAGGCACGCGAACACAGCGAGUAGUGGGGCGAGGGCGCGGGCGCGCGAGCGUGAGGCGGGGCACGGCGGAGAUGCGGUGAGCGCGACCAGGGGUACAACGAGCGGAGCUCGGAGGCGGAGCUCCAAGCACGGCGGCCCCGGCAAGUACGGGCGACUACGGCGACGGAAACGAGGGGGGGAAGGGGAAUCAGAGGAGGGCCUCACAGUGGAACUUGUGUGCGCGUUGGGGAAGCCGGCGAAGCUCGGGAGGCGGCGAAUCGAGGCGAGAUCCGUGGCGAUGCAGACGGGAAGAAGAAGAUGAUGGCGAGGCUUGGAGGAGUCCUGGCUCGGGACCGUACUCGUGGAUGAUGCAGUGGAGGUCGAACGAAGCUCUUGGUCAAGCUCCGAGCACGCGGGGGCGACGGUGGUCGCGUGGAUGGAGUCGGCCAUGGCGUCGGAGGUUUCGGGCGCCGCCGAAAUCAAGAGAGAGAGCGAGCAAAAGGAAGAGUGGGGUGCUCUAGGGUUCCGGCGAGGGAGAGAGGGGCAGGGGCUGCCCUUAUGCGCGACAGGGAACCGCGGGAUGGUCGCCACACAUCCAAAGUCACGGCCAUGGUGGGUCGGAUGCAUGCCACCACCCCCUGUGAACAGGGAGGAGGAGGAUGGCUCCUGGUGGGCUGGGUCUGCACUGAGGCCACUAGGGCCCAGUGCAGCAGUAGCAGUUCCUCAACCUCUUUUCCUUUCUAAAACUUUUCUAUUUUAUGCUUUUUCUUUUAAUAUGCACUCUUUGUAUUUAACUAAGCCAUCAAAUGCUUUUUGCAAAAUAGGGAACUUGGUCCAAAAUUGGUGUUACAUUUUUAGGCACUGCCACAAAAAGUUUGAGAGAUAUUUGAAUUCAUUUGGAAUUUUGUUUCAAUAGAAAUGAUAAAAUUUGGGGUUGUUUGCCAAUAUUUCGAAUAGUUGAGGGCAUCUAAACAUUUAUUUAAAAAUGUUGGUUCACCACCAAUAUUAACAAAUCAAUAUUUUCCACAUGAUGAACAUUUUAGUUUUAAUGUUUGAAAACUUUUAUCAUUUAACUUUAAUUCAAACUUGAAUUUGAAUCGGUUUCGAACUAACGCGAGAUUAAAAACAAUAAUCAAGGUGAUGUGGCAUCAUUAGCAGAGGUUGACUGUAGCUUAAAUAUCCGGGCGUCACACCCGGGCACCCGGAGAACCCAGUGCUUGCCCAAGGGAAUCCCGGCGUACUCGUGUGAUCACCCUAUGGAAUGCCACCCAGGCUUAAAGGGAUCAUACGAUUAUUCAUGCUAGGAACUUCCCUCUGUGCAGCCACAAGCCAUUAUGGGCUCUGGCAUAGUUGAGUAUGUUGCGUGACCUCUUUCAGUGGUAGGCUAGCAGAUGUAGGGGAAAGUAGGUGUAACUGUCAACCCAAAGUAAAGAGUAAAUGCUUCUGAAAGACUGUGUCUCGGUCAUCCGUUUCUCAAACACCAUGUAGUGCGAGAAAUCCAACGGAGGAGAUCGAGUCUCUUGGGUAAAAGUGUGCAAACCUCUGUAGAGUGUACAAACUAAUCAUGGUUAGCCGUGUCCCCGGUUAUGGACAUCUUGAGUAUCUGGCACUUGAAUUAUUUAUUUGAUCUCAUCACUUUACUUAAAUCAAUUUGUUUGGUCAUAAUUGUUAUUUUGGGAUUGAGUUGGGGGAACCUUCUCAAUUUUUUUUCAACCAAUGUGGUAGUUAAAUAAAAUAUAUUCCUUUGUUGUAGGAAAAAAUGGCUUUGUGCACAAAUAAACUUAGAGCCUCCACCAGCCAUAUAUGCAUGUACUGACAGUUAUUAUUCAUCAUUAUCCUAUGGUGUGAAUUUGCCAGUACAUUCAAUGUACUAACCCUUUGUGGCUGCAACGUCUCAUGUUGCAGGAAUCUUACGACAAGUAAGUGAUACGCUAGGGUCACGAGUUCUACACUCAACUUUGCCAUUGGUGUUGAUGGGAAUCCACAACCUUAUUGUUACUUCCGCUAUUUGGAUUAAGGUAAUAGUGUUUACGUUACUUUAUACAUGUGAUUUACCUCUGUUAUAAAUCCUUGAGUACUGUGUGUGUCAGCAUACCGAUCCAGGGAUGACACUUAAGCAUAGAGACUUGACCGUCUGAGGUCGGGUCGCUACAAAUUUAUUUUCUGUUUGGGAACCGCCUAUGGCAUAUCUAGCAUGG